rnacentral:lncRNA from 11 species
AUGCAGAUAUCGCUUCUACUCCCUUUGUUGCAGCAAGUUUUGGCUCAGGAGGUCCACUCCAUCGUUGAUACUGACACAUUGAAUAUAUAUACUCGAAGAACGUAUUACAUGGGAAAAUUGACUACUCUAGGUUUUCCAUACCUGUAUAACCACCACCUGAGGAAGACUACACAGUUGAAACCGGUCGUGGAUGGUGACUAACCUUGGAUUUGUUUAAAACAUUGGAUUUUAAAAAAAGGAUUCACUUACUUGGACAUUUAGAUUUGGACUCACAAUUAGUGAUUUAUACAGUCCUCCAUGUGGAACAUGAACUCUGGUGGUCAUUGGACUCACACACUCUGAAUAUAGAGUUUUACUUUCUAUGAAUGUAUGUGUGUUGGUAACACAUGGAUUAUAUUUUGGUUUAGAGACGUGUUUUUUGAAGCAUUUAGUAUAUUUUGAAUCUUUAUCAUCCUUGGCUGCACAUUGAAUGAUCU